rnacentral:rRNA from 1 species
AUACGCUCUGACGCCUGCCCGGUGCCGGAAGGUUAAGAGGAUCCGUCAGGCUUCGGCCGAAGCGGUGAAUUCAAGCCCCGGUAAACGGCGGUGGUAACUAUAACCAUCCUAAGGUAGCGAAAUUCCUUGUCGGGUAAGUUCCGACCUGCACGAAUGGCGUAACGACUUCCCCACUGUCUCGACCAGGAGCUCGGCGAAAUUGCAGUACGAGUAAAGAUGCUCGUUAAGCGCAGAAGGACGAAAAGACCCCGGGACCUUUACUAUACCUUGGUAUUGGCAUUCGGUGUGGAUUGUGUAGCAUAGGCGGAAGGCUUCGAAGCCACGGCGCCAGCCGCGGUGGAGCCGCAAGGUGAAAUACCGCUCUGUUCGCAUUGGAUGUCUAACCUCGACCAGUCAUCCUGGUCAGGGACAGUGCCUGGCGGGUAGUUUAACUGGGGCGGUUGCCUCCCAAAGAGUAACGGAGGCGCUCAAAGGUUCCCUCAGCCCGGUUGGCAAUCGGGUGGCGAGUGUAAGUGCACAAGGGAGCUUGACUGCGAGACUGACGGGUCGAGCAGGGACGAAAGUCGGAACUAGUGAUCCGGUGCCGGUGUACGGACGCGGCAUCGCUCAACGGAUAAAAGGUACCCCGGGGAUAACAGGCUGAUCAUUCCCAAGAGUCCAUAUCGACGGGAUGGUUUGGCACCUCGAUGUCGGCUCGUCGCAUCCUGGGGCUGGAGCAGGUCCCAAGGGUUCGGCUGUUCGCCGAUUAAAGCGGCACGCGAGCUGGGUUCAGAACGUCGUGAGACAGUUUGGUCUCUAUCCUCUGCGCUCGUCGGAAUGUUGAGGAGGCCUGCCCAUAGUACGAGAGGACCUGGGUGGACGAACCUCUGGUAUGCCGGUUGUCACGCCAGUGGCACGGCCGGUUGGCUACGUUCGGAAGGGAUAACCGCUGAAAGCAUCUAAGCGGGAAGCCUGCUCCAAGAUAAGCAUUCCAUAGGACUACGGGUCCUUGAAGUCCCCAUGCAGAACACGUGGUUGAUAGGCCGGACGUGGAAGCCCCGCGAGGGGUGGAGCCGACCGGUACUAACGGACGAAAGGCAACACAAC